GUCAGCACCCCGCACUAAAGUGACGGGGCUUCGCGCCCCCAAGUUUUAGUUAGCUGACCCGCCUAAGUACCCGGAGUACUACGUUAUUAGUAAGUGUUAAAGUCCCACCUACGGAUGCAAUCAGGCCAGUCUGUAGCUCUGGA
rnacentral:sRNA from 18 species